GCCACCCUGUUUGUCUUGGGCCGCUGGGGAGGGGCUGCCGCCCUCUGUCAGCUCCAGCGCACUCCUGCCAGGUCGCCCAGCGUGAAAGGGAGGAAUUGUUCCCAUGACCUUUGCUUUCUUUGUCAAAGGUUCAGCUCACAACCGGAAGAGCAGCAGGUCAAGGUUCCCAGAGUAUGAAAUGUCUGCCUCCGUCGGCAAUGACAUUCUCCCAGAGGCACUAAAAAUAGAUGCAGAACAGAAGCAUCAAGUCCCUGAAGGCUGGAGAGAGACAACAAGAAAGUGAACUUGAGAAGGGUCAGCGUGGAAGGACUUUGCGCUUUCAAGUUUAUCCAAAAAACAGGCCAUGCAAAAAAUUCUUUGAGGCUUUUGUCUUUGAAGAGAUAAGUGAAUGAUGCAGGACCUGGAAGGAACUUAACAUAGCUUCUCGCUUCAUCUGCGAGGCAACUCCCCCGUCAGGAUUGCUCUCCCUGCAGCAUAAGAGGAGCCUGAGGGCCACAGAACCUCAGGAGCCUCGUCCUUGAGACUUGGGGGGUCGGCGAAGGCUUCCCAGAGGGGCGGCCUGAGUGGGCUUAAGCAGGGCACCCAGGAGUUCCUCGAGUGGCGGAGGAAAGGUGGGUGCAUUUCUGGCCCCGAGCCGGGUGAUGGAGGGGA